UACGUAGGGUGCGAGCGUUACUCGGAAUUACUGGGCGUAAAGCGUGCGCAGGCGGUUCUCCAAGUCCGUUGUGAAAGCCCCGGGCUCAACCUGGGAAUGGCAUUUGAGACUGCAUAGCUAGGGUGCGGAAGAGGGAAGCGGAAUUUCCGGUGUAGCGGUGAAAUGCGUAGAUAUCGGAAGGAACACCAGUGGCGAAAGCGGCUUCCUGGUCCAGCACCGACGUUCAGGCACGAAAGCGUGGGGAGCAAACAGG
rnacentral:rRNA from 1 species